rnacentral:rRNA from 1 species
GCUUGCUGGUAUGAUUAGUGGCGAACGGGUGAGUAAUGCUUAGGAAUCUGCCUAUUAGUGGGGGACAACAUUCCGAAAGGAAUGCUAAUACCGCAUACGUCCUACGGGAGAAAGCAGGGGAUCGCAAGACCUUGCGCUAAUAGAUGAGCCUAAGUCGGAUUAGCUAGUUGGUGGGGUAAAGGCCUACCAAGGCGACGAUCUGUAGCUGGUCUGAGAGGAUGAUCAGCCACACUGGGACUGAGACACGGCCCAGACUCCUACGGGAGGCAGCAGUGGGGAAUAUUGGACAAUGGGCGAAAGCCUGAUCCAGCCAUGCCGCGUGUGUGAAGAAGGCCUUUUGGUUGUAAAGCACUUUAAGUGGGGAGGAAAAGCUAAUAAUUAAUACCUAUUAGCCCUGACGUUACCCACAGAAUAAGCACCGGCUAACUCUGUGCCAGCAGCCGCGGUAAUACAGAGGGUGCAAGCGUUAAUCGGAAUUACUGGGCGUAAAGCGAGCGUAGGUGGUCAUUUAAGUCAGAUGUGAAAUCCCCGGGCUUAACCUGGGAACUGCAUCUGAUACUGGGUGACUAGAGUAGGUGAGAGGGAAGUAGAAUUCCAGGUGUAGCGGUGAAAUGCGUAGAGAUCUGGAGGAAUACCGAUGGCGAAGGCAGCUUCCUGGCAUCAUACUGACGCUGAGGUUCGAAAGCGUGGGUAGCAAACAGGAUUAGAUACCCUGGUAGUCCACGCCGUAAACGAUGUCUACCAGUCGUUGGGUCUCUUGAAGACUUAGUGACGCAGUUAACGCGAUAAGUAGACCGCCUGGGGAGUACGGCCGCAAGGUUAAAACUCAAAUGAAUUGACGGGGGCCCGCACAAGCGGUGGAGCAUGUGGUUUAAUUCGAUGCAACGCGAAGAACCUUACCUGGUCUUGAC